ensembl:snRNA U6 U6 spliceosomal RNA
UUGCUUUAGUAGCACAUAUACUAAGAUUGGAACGAUACAGAGAAGAUUAGCAUGGUCCUUGCUCAAGAUUGAUAUGCAAAUUCACAAAGCAUUCUGUAUUAUU